AACGAACGCUGGCGGCAGGCUUAACACAUGCAAGUCGAACGGGCCCUUCGGGGUCAGUGGCAGACGGGUGAGUAACACGUGGGAACGUGCCCUUCAGUUCGGAAUAACCCAGGGAAACUUGGGCUAAUACCGGAUACGCCCUUUUGGGGAAAGAUUUAUCGCUGAAGGAUCGGCCCGCGUCUGAUUAGCUAGUUGGUGGGGUAAAGGCUCACAAAGGCGACGAUCAGUAGCUGAUCUGAGAGGAUGGUCAGCCACACUGGGACUGAGACACGGCCCAGACUCCUACGGGAGGCAGCAGUGGGGAAUAUUGGACAAUGGGCGCAAGCCUGAGCCAGCCAUGCCGCGUGAGUGAUGAAGGCCUUAGGGUUGUAAAGCUCUUUCGGCGGGGACGAUAAUGACGGUACCCGCAGAAGAAGCCCCGGCUAACUUCGUGCCAGCCGCCGCCGUAACAC
rnacentral:rRNA from 1 species